rnacentral:rRNA from 1 species
ACGCUCGACACCUACGGGAGCAGCAGUGGGGAAUAUUGCACAAUGGGGGAAACCCGUGAUGCAGCGACGCCGCGUGGAGGAAGAAGGUCUUCGGAUUGUAAACUCCUGUUGUUGGGGAAAAGAGGAUGGUACCCAACAAGGAAGUGACGGCUAACUACGUACCAGCAGCCGCGGUAAUCUGAGCGGGCUGGCAAGGC